AUUGAACGCUGGCGGCAGGCCUAACACAUGCAAGUCGAGCGAGCGGCGGACGGGUGAGUAAUGUAUGGGGACUGCCCGCUAGCGGGGGAUAACUACUGGAAACGGUGGCUAAUACCGCAUACUAUCGGAUAACCCAUAUGUGAUUAGCUAGUAGGUGGGGUAAAGGCUCACCUAGGCGACGAUCUCUAGCUGGUCUGAGAGGAUGAUUAGCCACACUGGAACUGUGACACGGCCCAGACACCUACGGAGGCAGCAGUGGGGAAUAGUGCACAACUGGCGCAAGCUUGAUGCAGCCAUGCCGCGUGGAUGAAGAAGGCCUUAGGGUUGUAAAGUACUUUCAGAUGGGAGGCAUUACACGCAGAAGAAGCACCGGCUAACUCCGUGCCAGCAGCUGCGGUAAUAC
rnacentral:rRNA from 1 species